ensembl:lncRNA
GUCUCGUCAAUGAUACUGUUGAUAACAUUGAAAGUGAAGUGUCAAACAUGGACAAAGAACAGCGGCGUAGCAGCCCUGCAUACCGCUGGGAGUCUUCCUGUCAGACUUCAAGCUGGGUGUCGCCAUCACGACUGCGUCCACCUGAGUUAGGAUCCCAUUAUGAGCUUAAUGACACCCAGCAGAACAUCAGACGCGGAGGCAGCACGCACUCUCUGCAGCUGGACUACAGGGUGAUGGGCUACAACGCGGACAAAAGCCGUGAGAGGACACAGGAAACUGGGAGGAGGACCUUUCAGUGGGAGAGGAAUCAGUCUGGAGAGUGGGAGAGAAAACACACCCCGGACAGAAAAGAAAAGAGAAGGUACAAGGAGGAAGGAAGGAAUAUGAACAUUAGGACCAAGGACAUGGAGGGACACCAGGACCACGGAGAUCAGCAGCUGCAGGACCAAGACAGCUGUGACGACAGCUCCUCGCCCGUGUAUGAAGAGUACCAAGAGUCCAGACAUGAUCCGGAACAAAAUGAAGACACGGAGAGCCUUUAUGAUAU